ACUUGAUGAAGUGUGCAUUCACAAAGUAGAUCCCUGAAACGCUCCCAUGUCUCAACAAAAAGUUCCUCAUCCGUUUGUGUGAAACUUGUGAUUACCCUUUGCAACU